rnacentral:rRNA from 1 species
CAGCAGCCACGGUAAUACGGAGGGUGCAAGCGUUAAUCGGAAUUACUGGGCGUAAAGCGCACGCAGGCGGUCUGACAAGUCAGAUGUGAAAUCCCCGGGCUUAACCUGGGAACUGCAUUUGAAACUGUCAGGCUGGAGUCUUGUAGAGGGGGGUGGAAUUCCAGGUGUAGCGGUGAAAUGCGUAGAGAUCUGGAGGAAUACCGGUGGCGAAGGCGGCCCCCUGGACAAAGACUGACGCUCAGGUGCGAAAGCGUGGGGAGCAAACAGGAUUAGAUACCCCAGUAGUCCCUGUCUCUUAUAA